rnacentral:ncRNA from 1 species
CGGUACAUCUAUCAAAGAAUAACGUAGGUGUCCUAAGACCAGCUCAGUGAGGACAGAAACCUCGCGUAGAGCAAAAGGGCAAAAGCUGGUUUGAUCCCGAUGUUCAGUACGCACAGGGACUGCGAAAGCAAGGCCUAUCGAUCCUUUUGGCUUGAAGAGUUUUCAGCAAGAGGUGUCAGAAAAAUUACCACAGGGAUAACUGGCUUGUGGCGGCCCAGCGGUCAUAGCGACGUCGCUUUUUUAUCCUUCCUCCUAUCAUUGCGAAGCAGAAUUCGCCAAGCGUCGGAUUGUUCACCCGCAAAUAGGGAACGUGAGCUGGGUUUAGACCGUCGUGAGACAGGUUAGUUUUACCCUUCUGAUGACUAUAAAUGUCGUUGCGAUAGUAAUCAACCACAGUACGAGAGGAACUGGUUGUUCAGACCUCUGGUUCACGCCCUCGGUCGAUCGACCGGUGGAGCGAUGCUACCAUCUGUUGGAUUAUGCCUGAAUGCCUCUAAGGCCGAAUCCGCGCUAGAUCGUCGUUGGCGACGAUACAUCUGGGAGUCUCGUGUGCCGAAAGGCGAGUACAGUCUAUGUGACUAUGCUAGGCGGCUGUUCCUUACGGUCAGUCGUCGCGUUGUGCCCCGCCGUGUGCUGUGCCGGAACGGCUGUGACCAGGGAUUGAAACACCUGAAGUUGCGGCCCCCGGCUUGCAGUAGACCAAGGGUUUUUCGGAGUCGGGACUCGGAAUCGUUUGUAGACGACUUACGUACCUGGCGAGGUGUUGUCAGCGGUAGAGCAGUUAUCACGCUGCGAUCCGUUAAGACUCUGCCUUCCGCUUGGGAGAUUCGU